GAUGAAAGAACGUAGCGAAAUGCGAUAAGUAAUGUGAAUUGCAGAAUUCAGUGAAUCAUCGAAUCUUUGAACGCACAUUGCGCCCCUUGGUAUUCCGAGGGGCAUGCCUGUUCGAGCGUCAUUAUAACCCCUCAAGCUCGGCUUGGUGUUGGGGCCUGCCGCACGGGCAGCCCUUAAAAUCAGUGGCGGUGCCAUCUGGCUCUAAGCGUAGUAAUUCUUCUCGCUAUAGAGUCCCGGUGGAUGCUUGCCAUUAACCCCCAAUUUCAAUGGUUGACCUCGGAUCAGGUAGGGAUACCCGCUGAACUUAAGCAUAUCAAUAAGCGGAGGA
rnacentral:misc_RNA from 1 species